rnacentral:rRNA from 1 species
GAUGAACGCUGGCGGCGUGCCUAAUACAUGCAAGUCGAGCGAACGGACGAGAAGCUUGCUUCUCUGAUGUUAGCGGCGGACGGGUGAGUAACACGUGGAUAACCUACCUAUAAGACUGGGAUAACUUCGGGAAACCGGAGCUAAUACCGGAUAAUAUUUUGAACCGCAUGGUUCAAAAGUGAAAGACGGUCUUGCUGUCACUUAUAGAUGGAUCCGCGCUGCAUUAGCUAGUUGGUAAGGUAACGGCUUACCAAGGCAACGAUGCAUAGCCGACCUGAGAGGGUGAUCGGCCACACUGGAACUGAGACACGGUCCCGGCUCCUACGGGAGGCAGCAGUAGGGAAUCUUCCGCAAUGGGCGAAAGCCUGACGGAGCAACGCCGCGUUAGUGAUGAAGGGCUUCGGAUCGGAAAACUCUGUUAUUAGGGAAGAACAUUUGUGUAAGUAACUGUGCACAUCUUGACGGUACCUAAUCAGAAAGCCACGGCUAACUACGUG